AUUCCCAUUCAUAGUUCAAAAUUCAAUGUGUUAACAUAGAGAAAAAUAUUUAUGUAUAAAAUAUUUGCAAUUUCAUUUUGUUAGUUGUGUUCUGGGUUUCGUUCUCUAAUUGAGCCAUAAUUAAGCUGAGACUGAGCUAAUAAUCCCAACUGAAUUAGCAUCCCGUUGAGCUUCGCAUAGCUUUUAGACGGAAACCCCCUAAGUAAUCAACAUGUGUUGUGGACCAGCUUCGUGCUGCCCGAGCUGCGGCCCACCCUGUGGCGGACCCUAUUCUACGCAAUGUUGCGUGGAGCUCUGCUGUUCCCCCUGUACCCCGGCCUACUUGCAGUGCACCAUCUGUCCCUGCUACCCUCGCUGUUGCUAGCCCAGUGAAGGACGAAAAGUUAACAUUGACCUCACGGCGGAUAGUCCUAUACAUUGCUGAUCCCAACUAACGAAAUGAUAAUGCAAAACAAAAAAAAAUAAAUAAAAUAUAAUAGAGGAACGAUCAUAAGACAAUAUUGCCUCCAUUUGUUCCUUGGGCAGAGAUGGGACUAUAAUUUUUUCGACUGUUGGGCUAGUCCCGGAUUUGAACCCAGCUCCACCAGCCAGAUGGCCUAGUCCCGUGGGCGAUUGCCAUUUAUUACUCACUUUUGUAUUGAGCCUGAACAGGCUGUGGCUUUUCAUUUACUAGAAUGUGUGUAUUCAAUCGAAUGAAUUCAGUUGGUUGCUAAAUUCAAUUCCGAUCCGGUUAGGUGCGUUGUUCGGCUGAUUUUCAGAUAUUUCCACAGAGGCACCAUGUGCUGUCCAAGUCGCUAUUACCGGAACACGCCGUGCGUGCAGUGCUGUCUCAUCGACUGCAGCUACUGCUGCUUCCGAUCAGACUGUUGUGGCCCCUGCUGCGGGACCACCCACCCGCCUAGCUUGUGCGGCGGGUGCUGUGGAUCUUGCUGCUAGCAGGGCUGAAGAUGGACCACGACAACGCACCCCGACCCGGCGGACUGGCAAGCAUUCUCCAACUGGAUGUAGAAUUUAUUCUCUUUUAUGAACAGCAACAGCAACAGCAACAGAACGGGUAGUAGUAGGCUUCGAAUCGAUUUGGAGCAGCUGUCCAGGUUGACGAGCUGCCGAAUAUUGGCUGGAGCUCAUUCCGACUUUGAGCCUGGUUGUGAACACAUCAAAAAAAGUUUUCAAUCUCCAAAAACCAACAUCUUUUGGAACCCUUUUUUUGUUUGUGAACACCUGUGCUCUCUGUCGAAACCAUCCUCCAUCUCCAUCUCCUGUUCCUGCUCCUACUCCAGCUGACUACGCUCAUCAGGAUGUGCUGCAAUCCCGGUGGCAGCUGCGGUCUGCCCGCCUGUAUCCAGUGCACCAACUUCUGCUUCAACUGCUGGACCGGCACGGCGAGCGUUCCCAGCUGUCGCCCUGGCUACACACCAGCCUGUCCGCUCUAUCGCGGCUGCUGCGGUGGGCCUCGAGGCUGUUGCUAGCCACCCUCCUCGAUGUCUACGAAACUGAGAAAUCAAAUUUACCGUCUCUCAUAGAAAAUCAUCCGUGAAUAAAAGAAUUUCAAAGCAAAACAUAUGUACAUAUGUAGGACCCAUCAGUUGGA
rnacentral:sRNA from 1 species